rnacentral:rRNA from 1 species
AGCGAACGCUGGCGGCAGGCCUAAUACAUGCAAGUCGAGCGGGCAAUUUCGGGUGUUAGCGGCGGACGGGUGAGUACCGAGUGGGAACGAGCCCGUUGGUUCGGAAUCUCUCAGGGAAAGUUGAGCUAAUAACGCAUACGCUAUUUCCGGGUAAGGACUGCUGCCGAAGGUUUGGAGCGUGUCAGAUUAGCUAGCUUGUGUGGUAGCGGCUCCCCAAGGGGACGAUCAGUAACUGGACUGAGAGGAUGAUCAGCGACACUGGGACUGGGACACGUCCCAGACUCCUACCGGAGGCAGCAAGUGUGAAUAUGCGACAACGGGCGCGAGCCUGAUCCAUCCGGGCCGCGUAAGUCAUGUGGGCCUGAGGAUUGUAAAGCUCUUUGAUCCGAGACUAUAAUGACGGUACCGAAGGAAUAAGCCCCGGCUAACUUCGUG